AUGGCGCGGUGCGGGAGGCUGCGGGCCGGUACCGCCACUAAGCUGCGGCGGUGGCGGAAGGGACACAGCAGCGACUGCAAUCCCGAGACUCGGCGGCACCGCCUGGCCGCGCGAAGCCGUUUCUACAGCCGGCCUGCCGAGAAAAGCAAUCUGACGGUGGAUGCGGUGAAGCUGCACAAUGAGUUGCAGUCAGGAUCCCUGCGUGUGGAGCGGCCAACUGACAGCUCUCAGUUGCCCAUGGAGGAGGGUGAUGCUGGGGAGGCUGCCACCCAGAAGUCCUCCGGCACCUUCCUGAGCGGGCUGAGCGACUGCACCAAUGUUACCUUCAGCAAGGUGCAACGCUUCUGGGAGUCCAACUCCGCUGCACACAGAGAGAUCUGUGCUGUGCUGGCAGCUGUGACAGAUGUGAUCCGCUCACAAGGAGGCAAAGAGACUGAGACUGAGUACUUUGCUGCACUGAUGACCACACUGGAGGCAGUGAAUUCCCCUGAAUCAGUGGCUGCUGUUGCAUACUUGCUUAACCUUGUCUUGAAGCGAGUUCCCAGUCCAGUACUCAUAAAGAAGUUCUCAGAUGCUUCAAAAGCCUUCAUGAGUAUCAUAUCCUCACAGGCCUGCAGCAGCUCCACCUCUGCACUGCGAUGGGUCCUCUCAUGCCUGGCCACACUGCUGCGAAAACAGGAUUUGGCAGCGUGGAGCUACCCUGUCACCCUCCAGGUCUACCAUGGCUUGCUGAGCUUCUGUGUUCACACCAAACCCAAGGUUCGGAAAGCAGCUCAGCAUGGUGUGUGCUCCGUCCUGAGGGGGAGCGAGUUCAUGUUUGGAGAUGAGGCUCCUGAGCACCAUCCUGCGGCACCCUCCAGUGCCAAGUUCUGCGUGCAGGAGAUUGAAAAAGCUGGAGGCACCAAGGAGGCUACCACCACACUGCACAUGCUGGCCCUCCUGCGGGACCUGCUGCCCUGCUUCCCUGCAGCUGUGCUGAAGACAUGCUGUGAGACCCUGCUCAGAGUCAUGACUCUCAGCCAUGUGUUGGUGACAGCAUGUGCCAUGCAGGCCUUCCAUAGCCUAUUCAGUGCCCAGCCCAGCACGUCCUGCCUGCCAGCUGAGCUCAAUGCCCAGAUCAUCACCGCACUGUAUGACUACGUGCCCAAUGCCAGUGACCUGCAGCCGCUGCUCACCUGGCUGUCCACCAUGGAGAGGGCACACGUCAACCUGGGCAGACUGCAGAAGGACCUGUGCUGGGCUCACCUGCCCCGUCUCUUCUCGACCACCAUGAAUUGCUUCCUGUCCCCACACUCGCAGGUGGUGGCAGCUGCAGCACAGACCCUUGAGACCCUCCUGAAUGAGUGCAUUGCUCCCCACAUGGAUGAACUAGGCAAUGUCUCUGCAUCUGCUCCAGCCCCUGGUUCCUACCUUUGCAAGAUGUUCAGGUCGGUGGAGGAAGGCCUGACAUACCGUUUCCAUGCUGCUUGGGAUGGCGUGCUGCAAGUACUGGAGGUUUUCUUCGAGGUGUGUGGGAAGCAGUGCCAUCCCAUCAUGAAGAAGUGCCUGCAGUCCUUGUGUGACCUGCGCCUCUCUCCACACUUCCCCUACACCACUGAGGUGGAUCAGGCGGUGGGGGCUGCUGUUGGUGCCAUGGGCCCUGAGGUGCUGCUGGAAGCUGUUCCCCUGCAGAUCGACGGCAAGGAGGAGACUCUGGAUUUCCCCCGCAGCUGGCUGCUGCCUGUGCUGCGGGACUACGUGCAGGGCACACGGCUUGGCUUCUUCACCAGCUACUUCCUGCCCUUGGCAGCCACUCUGAAGAGCAGAGCCUUGGAGUUUGCCCAAGCUGGGAAGAGCCUUGAAUCCAAGAUCUAUGACACACUGCAGUGGCAGGUCUGGACCCUGCUGCCUGGCUUCUGCACCCGCCCCACAGACGUGGUGGAGGCUUUCAAGGGGCUGGCACGCACCCUGGGCAUGGCCAUUAGCGAGCGCCCGGACCUCCGCCCCACCGUGUGCCAGGCCCUACGCACCCUCAUCCACCACGGCUGUGGGACAGAUGCAGAGCGAGCAGAAGUGGGUCGUUUUGCCAAAAAUUUCCUGCCCAUCCUAUUCAACGUGUAUAGCCAACCUGAGGAGGAUGGGGGCAGCAGUGGUCAACGGCGCUCUGUGCUGGACACAGUGCGUGCCUAUCUGACCAUCACGGACCCACAGAUGGUGUGUGGGUUCCUGCAGAAAGCCAGUGAGAAACUGACCAGUCCUGAGAGCACAGAGUUUGCCAGGCUCUCCAUUCUGGACCUGGUUGUGGCAAUGUCUCCCUAUGCCAGUGAGCAGGCCCUAGGCUCCCUGUACCAGACUAUCCAGCCUUCCCUCCAGAGCAAGGACCACAGCAUGCAGAAGAAGGCAUACCGUGUGCUGGAGGAAGUAUGUGCUGCCCCGCAUGCCCCGUGCCAGGCCUUUGUCCACUCACACCUGGAAGACUUGCAGGCAGUGCUGCUGGAUUCACUCAAGAGCGCAGCGUCCCCAGCCAAGAGGCCCCGGCUGAAGUGCCUGUUCCACAUUGUAAAGCAGCUCUCAGCUGAGCAUGAGCCCUUCAUCACUGCCCUGGUUCCAGAGGUCAUCCUGUGCACCAAGGAGGUGUCGGUGGGAGCCCGUAAGAAUGCCUUCAUGCUGCUGGUGGAGAUGGGACAUGCUUUCAUCCGCUUUGGGCCCACUCCCCAAGAGGCUAUGGAGCGGUUCCUGCUCUUGGUCUACGCGGGGCUGACAGGUUCGGUCACCAUGAUCAGCUGCACAGUGCUGGCACUCACACGCCUGUUCUUUGAGUUCAAAGAUUACAUGGAGCUGAGCGUGGUGGAGCAGCUGCUGCAGAACAUCUGCCUGCUGCUGGGCUCUCGCACACGUGAUGUGGUGAAGGCAGCUCUGGGCUUCCUUAAAGUCGUGCUGCUGCUGGUUGACACCACACUGCUGGCCAAGCACAUCCAGACUAUGCUGGAGGCCAUAGGCAGCCUUUCAGAUGACAUGAGGCGCCACUUCCGCAUGAAGCUGAGAAACCUCUUCACCAGAUUCAUCCGCAAAUUCGGCUUCGAGCUGGUGCAGGGACUGCUGCCAGCUGAGUUCCACAAGGUUCUGGUGAAUAUCCGCAAGGCUGAAGCUCGCAGCCGCAAGCAGCGUGCCCUGAGGCAAGCAGCUGCAGAGACAGAGGAGGAGGAAGCACCAGCCCAGCCCAGAGGAGACAGCAUGGAGGAGAUCCUGGCAGACUCAGAGGAGGAGGAGGAAGAGGAGGAACGGCAACGGGGCAAGGUGCGGAAGAAACAAGCACGGCAGAAGGGCCAAGCGUGGCUGAAAGAAGGGGAAGAGGAUGAGCCUCUCAACUUCCUGGAUCCCAAUGUGUCCCAGCGAGUGCUGACCACUGAGCCAAGCCUGAAGAGGUCCAGAGGAGUGAAGCACGACUUCCAGGUGUCUGAGGAUGGGCGCCUGAUCAUCCACGAUGAGGAGGAAGAGGUGGACAAUGAUGAAGCCAAAGGAGUGGACGAGGAAGUGGCAGAUGUGCUGCAAGAAGUGGGCCUUCGCAGUAAGAAAAGUCAGAAGCGUCGGUUCAGAGAAGAGCCAGAUGAUGAUGAACCAGAGACUGGGACCUACUCUCAGUACAGAGCUGGAGGCUCUGGGAUCCACCGGCCACUGGACAAGAAGCCAGCCUUUGGUGCAGAGUACAGAUCCAAGAAAGGCAAAGGUGAUGUGAAGAAGAAGGGCCAGCUCGACCCCUAUGCCUACAUCCCCCUGAACAGAGCUAAACUCAACAAAAGGAAGCAGGCAAAAAUGCAAGGUCAGUUCAAGGGCCUGAUGAAGGGUGCCCAGCGUGGGGCCAAGGCUGGGCGCAAGAACCGGCUGAAGGACCGUCGCCCUUGAGGAGCUGUGGAUGCUGUGUGCACUUGCCUGAGGACUGGUGAUAACCUGAGCCUGGACUCCUCGUUUCUUUCCUGCAAACACCUCACACAGCAUGUCCCCUGCAGUGCAGCAGGUCCUGGGACGGAGGAGCUGGAGCAGGAGCCCUCUGUGGUGUCUGUCCUGUGGCUGUCACUGGUUCUGCAUCUGCUUUGCCCAUCUCUUACUGCAAGGCAGAAAGAGUUUUGCUGCAAUGUUUUUUUCUGGCUGAAAAACUGCUGCUGUUAACCUCAGUGUCUGGGCUUUUCUCUUACCUGGGAGAGCUGAGAUGGAGCCUUUGCUCUGCUCUGACCACAUCCCAGCAGCGCAAGUAAUUCUGGGUCUUUAGCUGCCCAGGUUAGAUGAGCAGCUGUUUUCACCCAGUUAUUUCUGCUGAGCCCAAAAGAUGGUGUUUGGCCAAAGCAUGCUGAAGAAAAGAGUGGAGCUGAGGGUAGCAAAUAGAGGAUACAGGUCCCAUGGCUCACAAUGCAAAGAGCGUGUAUUUGUGAAUGUAUCUUUCUUCCUCUUUUGUAUUAAAAAGCCUUUAGUCCUUUGUCAUUUCCUAUCAUGGUAGCUUACAUGCUGGAAUUGCAACGCUUUUCAGUCUCCUAAUAAGCUAAAGAGAUUGUGCUUGUUCAGCCUCUUACCGUGGGCUGCUUUCUGUAGGCUGCAAAUCCAGUUUGUGGCUCUCUGCUUCUUUUUGUUUGGUUGUUUUCUUUUUUUUCCAAGAUCCCUUUAAAAGCUGAGGAGCUGUUGUACUGGUGUUGCUAUGCCUUGGCUGGAGAACUAUCUCUAUCC